AGAAACUUAGGACUACUAUAAACCAGAGGCCUUCAAAGCCCCAAAAAAGAGUCUUAACCUCUU
rnacentral:tRNA from 1 species